GCGCGCUCAGGCUCCGGGAGCCGGGCCCGGCCCGCUCCGCCCGCGCCAGCCCGGGCGGGACACGUGGUGCCUGGGCCGCCCGCGCUCUCGGGAACCGCGGUGCCUGGACCUCAGCAGCCGGUUCGGCCGCCGCAGGAGCCGCGGACGUCGUGAGGGGAAGGGCGGGGACCGAAAGGGUCGGCGCCGGGAGGUGGGGCGCCGCGACGUGGGCGCCGUGAGGGCCGAGCGCGGGGGGCCUGCCUCCGGGGUUCGCGACGCGCGGGCUCUGUGCGGGUCUCCCGAGGCGAGCGGAUGGUGUCGCCGCUCUUUCCCGAGCCACUCGGGGCGGCGGGCGGCGCCCUUCGGAGGCUCCGGGGGCCCGCGGGUUGAAGGGAAGGGCUGCGGGCCGGAGGGUCCGGGGCACAACCCCCUUCUCGCGCCCGCCGGGAUCCGGGAGCAGCGGCGAGCCUGGGGCCGGCCUCCGCCUCGCGCUCCUCGCCCAGCGCAGUGAACAGGGUCCUGGCCCCGGGUGGAGACGCAAACCACUGAACGCCGCAGCGUGGACCCGAGCUCCCCUUUAGGACAGUCUCGCCCGGGAGAAUUCCUCUCGCGACCACAGCCUGUCGUCUGGGGAAGGCUAAGGAGACACUGCUCAAAGCUGGGGACGGAGACGUUCCUGAAGCCGCGGCUCUUUCCGACUUCGCCAGUGACCUUGGACGCCUCUCCUAAACAAGGUGUCUCUUGAAUUUCCUGCUUCUGGGAAUAAACGUGGCUAUUCAUUUUCUAACUCUCAAGAGGUAAUAGCGACUGGGUUAAAAACAAACAAAACAAAACAAAUAAACAAACAAAAAAACACUCCAGACAUCUUUAAUAACAAGCGCAAUAUACAUACAAUUUGUACUGACUUUAGGAGAGGCUGAAGGAAGCCUUAAGACCCGAAGAAAACCGUUCUGAUUUAUUAGUACAAAUGCAAAACUAAUUCAUCAGCCCCUCGACCUGCUUUUCUGGGAAGGUAGUUUGAGGAAAUUGGCGGGAAGAUACUUUGCUCAGAAUUGCCAGAGCCCCAUGGAGCUCCAUCCAGAACAUGCAGCUUUACUGAAGUCUCAAGUUGAAACCGAUUUAUCAUUUUGCGCUUACCAUAGGUGAGGGUCAAAGGGCACCACCACAGUUUGGCUAAGGGCCCUUCUUGCGUACAGAAUACUUCAAACUGGAGCUGACCACGGAGGUCUGGAUGGAAGAACACCCCAAGUAUUCAUUCUUCUGGAGACCAGCAGACGAGAAACCAGGUCAUCCCCAUCAAGAACUUUUCCACCUGCCUCAGUUCUAGGGAGAGCCGGUCCACUGUCCAUUCACAUGUGAAGCACAAUGAGCUGAGGUUACAGAGUUCUACUGACUGGCCUUACAAUGCAAUCCACUUGAUUGGUUGCAAGAAAGUAGGCUCCACGUGAGAGGAAGAGAUGGCCUGGCACGAAUGCCCUGCCAUUGCUGUUACCUGGGAGACUUGUUCUGUUCUCCCAAUGAGUUCCUAGCUCUGGUCACCAAGGAGUUAUAACUGAGCUCCGUCAGUGGACUCACACAUGAGAAUGUGCUUUAACCAGUUGGGAACUCUCACAGGGAGUAAGUACAAGGACGUCAAAGCCAUUCACAGAAUUCUACCAGUGCAACCUCCCAUCAGAAGUGCUGUUUAAGGGUCAUCUUGGAACCUCAAAAGACUCCACGAUCAUGCAGAGAAAAGGUAUAGCUAUCUGAAAAGGUGCCAGGGAAAGAACCUGUCUCCCAGCCAGAGACUGUGUCGGGAAAACAGAAGGCUACUGGAUAGCUUCCUCUACCUUCAGAGCCUGUGAAGCCUCAGAGGAAAUUCAAAGGGGCCAAGGUAAUAGGCCUGGGCCAGUUAGUUCUGGGGAACCUCUGUCUCUUUUCUCGUGCCCAUCUGACCCAAGCCGAUCCUCCACAGAGGGAGAGCGCCUGAGAGAAGUUCUUUGUGUCUCCCAGACCUCCUCAUCUUCCACAUGUGGUUCUCUGUACAGAGACAGAGAACUGUACAGAGACCGUUCUAUGUACAGCACAGCCUGAGAAAAACAGGCUCAAGGCAGCACAGGCCAGCAGGCACCUUCACCUUGACCCUUUUCAACACGUAAAUACCUGAAUCCAGGCUGAGCUCUAGAAAGAGAACCUGACUCCAGAGAUGGUCAUCCAUAGUGACAGAGCCAGGUGCCAAGGACUAGGGAGGAGCAACAAGAUGUUUCAGCUCCCUCUGUUGGACCUCACCACAGCAGAUCUCAGAGAAGCCAUGUGGUCUUACGUUACCAGUAAAGGGUACAACUUGGAAGCCAGUUUUCUUUCUUGCUGUGAUUCAGGUGAGACUGAAGAAAGUGAACAUACAUCCUUGAACUCACGGGUCUGCUCAGAAACAACUAAUGAAUCUUCUUUAGAUACAAUUGAUGCUGUCAAAUGCUCUACCACUGAGCUACACCCCCUAGAUACAACUGAUGAAGAAGAGUAGCUCCCUGAAUCCAGGGGCAAUGCAGGAAAGUGGGUUCGAUCCAAAUAGAGUUACCCAUCCCAAAGAUAAGUUGGAUACAUGUAAACCACCCAGUAGCCUCAGAUCUCUUAAAAAACAACUAUUUCUGCUAUGCUGCCAACUCCAUUGGGCCAGAAGUCCCCAAAACAUGGCUUGCACUUGGUUCCUGUGUCCAGUCACAGUAUUCUGAUGCUUUCAUCUGAGCUGAGCUCUACCUCCAGCAAAGCAUUUGGCAGAGAGAACAAGAUGAGCAGCUUUCCUGAAAGACAGUUUCUUGCGGGCUCCUAUGUGGGGCAGAAUGCUUCCAUUGGCAAGUCUUGCAACAAUUUACAGGCCACUCAAAAAAAUUGGAGGUCGUUUCUGCAGAAGAGCUGCUGCCCACCAUCAGGGUGCUCCUGGGCUGGCUCUGCAUCAACCACAACUUCCUCACCACAGGUUGGCAGGGUCUGUUGGAUCUGUGAGAUCACCACUCUGCUGUUGAACCUGCUGCCUUCAGGGAGCCCUUCAGAAAUCAGGCCUGGUGCUGUCCCACCAUCUCCAUGACCUGCUGCAGAGCUGUAAGGGAGAGAUCUUCCCUGGUUCCUGCAACUCCUUGGUUAUGUCUUCACCUUUUUUUUAAUGCCCUGUUCAAGUUUUCACUCUUGACUGUGUCUGGGUUGGUGGCCAGACUGCCAUGCUAUGAUUUCAUUUGUUCCAUCUAAACUAAGCAUGAUCACAAUAGCCCAGGAUUAGCAGGAUUAGCAGAUUCAGUUCUCCUUCUGAUAAUCUGAGAAUAGGUGUUUUAUGGUAAAAUAUUGGUAUUUUAUCUGGCAUCUGCUGCUCAAAUUUUCCAAUUUUGGCUUCUAUGACAUUGUCUCUUGCCUUCUUCUUCUUCUUUUUCUUUUUCUUUUUUUUCCUCUCCUCCUCCUUCUCCUCCUUCUUCUUCUUCAUCUUUUCUGGCUCACAGAUGUCUUUUGGGACCUCUUGUCAAUCUCUUAUCUGGCAUAUACUCUAGGGGAUAGCUCUUUUCCUGCUGUUAGUAGACCUCGGAUGUGCACUCUGUAAAGACUGGACAUUAGUUAAAUUUCCCAGCUGCGAUCAGAUUGGCAUGUGUUGAAACUAGUAACAUUAGUCCCCUCCCCACUACCUAUUCCCAACAGUCUUCUCUGAGAAACCACCACAUCUCAAGGCCAACUGCAAUACUCUUUCAGGAUCCCAAGUUCUGGAGGCAUCAGAGUCUUCCUCUGUCCAGUCCACUCCUUACCAACUCAGUCUCAGAUUCAUUUACUCCCCCCAGAAGCAAGAAAUUCCAUUCCUAGCUUUCCUUUACUCCUGGGUUCUCAUUUCUUAGUUAUCCUAAGCCAAGCUUUUGUGUUUCAGUUAAACUUCCUGUUAUUUCCCUUUCUCCAUGCUAUUAAAAAGCAUAUUAUUAUAUUUAUUAGAAACAUUUUGACAAACUAAAGAAAAAUAGAAGAGAAAACCCAAUGGUGGUUUAACCCAAACAUUGCCACUUUUGUUGUUUUGAUUAUUUAUAACCUGCCAUGCUUCCUCUGCAUACAUGUUUUUCUUUCAGUUGUAAUUAUAAUUUUUAAACAUUUUUCAGCCUAUUUUUUUCAAAUUACAAAUGUUUCUUACAUUAUUGCAUAUUCAAUUUUGACCCUUUAGUAGCUGCUUCCUAGCAUCAUUUGCUUAAGUAUUCAUCUUGCUUUUCUAAUAUUUUUAGCAUUAAGUCAUUAAUAAUCAUAUGAUAAAGAUCUUUGAUCCAUUAGGAUUAAUUCCUUAGAAUAGAUGAGCAGAAAUUGAUUUACUGAGUUAAAAGAUAUGUAUGUAUAGGUACAUAACGGACUGAGCCACCCAGAUUCCCCUAAACUAUUUUUGAAAACACAACCAGAAUUGUUUUUCUGGUGGGAGAUACUUGGUCAUUUUCACAUAUGGAAAAAAAUUUAUUCAUUGCUAUGGAAGAUUCUCCCUUCAAGAAGCUUGGGUGGGAGAUCCCAAAUUGCAUUUAGGAGGUUCUAGGCUAGAUAAUAUGAAUAGAGUAAGAGCAAGAAAAACUCAGGCAGUGCUUCCUGUCAACACAGUAGAAACUGGAAUUGUGUCUCACGGUGGGUUUUGGUUCUUUUAAGCGCAGCACCCAGUCCCAUUCUUAAACUUCUGCUAGAAAAAGAUGACGUUAGCAUGCUUUUUCAGCUAUGGACACUGGUGCUAUGGCAUGUGCUGAGCAAGACACAAAUGGGGGUACCAUCCAAUCACCAGAGUUCUGCCAAUUUUUCUGUUAUUUAUUUAUUUUUUUAUAUGCAGGAAUCAUGCUCCCUAAGAAAGUCUCCUGUUGUGUUCUGGGGUGUUUCCUUGCUUUCCCUUGUAGGAGCUUUGGAACUUCAGGUGUUCAGCUACCAUCAGCAGAUAGAUACCCUGCUCUGGACUUACAAACACACUGAGAGGCACCAAUGGGCUGCCCUGAAGAUGUUAUUGCUGUGAAUUCAUGACGUGUCACGGAUGACUCUUGCACGGCUUGCUGGUUCCUGGAUGCCAUACAAAGAAUCUUGCUGAAUCUGUGGACAAGCAAUGAGACAAAGACCAAGAGAGUGUUGUCAUUAAAUGGUUGAACUUCACUGGGUUUACUUGGAGGAUAAGCACCAUUGAGGUCAUCCUCUGCCGAUAGGAUCACUCAGGUGAAGCCCCUCGAUGAAACAUCUUAUAUUACUUACUGUUUCAUCUCACUCUUAAAGUGUUUGUCCUCUUAAAGUAUGGUCUUUUGGCUUAGGCCUAUGGGACUGUGGACAAAAUUUUGUAUACUAGGAGAAUUAAUUUUCUCUUUGUAUAGUUUUUUCUUCUCUUCAUCAAGGCAUUACAGGAAUCAUAAAUAAAACAACAGGUAAAAUAAGUGUCUGGAAGAGAUUAAUCUGAGUGAAAUAAGUCAAGCAGAGAGAGUCAAUUAUCAUAUGGUUUCACUUAUUUGUGGAGCAUAACAAAUAGCAUGGAGGACAAGGGGAGAUGGAGAGAAGGGAGUUGAGGGAAGUUGGAAGGGGAGGUGAACCAUGAGAGACUAUGGACUCUGAAAAACAAUCUGAGGGUUUUGAAAUGGUGGGGGGUAGGAGGUUGGGGGAACCAGGUGGUGGGUAUUAGAGAGUACACGGAUUGCAUGGAGCCCUGGGUGUGGUGCAAAAACAAUGACUACUGUUAUGCUGACAAGAAAUAAAAAAUUAAUCAAAAAAAGAAUAAGUGCCUAAACCUUAAUAUUUGUAUGAGACUCAGCUGAGGAAAAUAACGACUAGAAACUUCAUUGUUACCUGGGAUU